rnacentral:rRNA from 1 species
GUCUAUGGCCAUGCCACCCUGGACAUGCCCAAUCCCGUCUGAUCUCAGAAGCUAAGCAGGUCGGGCCUGGUUAGUACUUGGAUGGGAGACCACCUAGGAAGACCAGGUGCUGAAAGCG